AUUCAAGUUAUAUAAAAUGGCCGUAAAAAAAUGUUCAAUUUUAGGCGUUGUCGUAAGAAUAUGUAAACCUUCUUCGAGUUGACUCUGUGUAAUGGUCAACGGUGGUGAUAUUCUUAUAAUCUGACCAUGCGCAGGUCUUGUUAAUAAACCUGCGUCACGUAAUUUCAAGCAAAUAUCCCAACCCUGUGCCAUGUCUAUGAACAAACACAUAAAUGAUGUAUUCAUUUAUAAAAUGAUAUUAAAAGAUAAGAAGAAAUACCUUUAUUGAUAAGAAGACCAGCUAACAAGCCACGUCCUCUAAAUUCCACAGCAAUAUCUUUCGAUUUACCUCAUCGUUUGCUAGAACACCAGAAACUGGAUACAUUCCACCAGAAAGGGCUUUACCUAGAAUCAUAAUAUCUGGUUUUUGAUU